rnacentral:rRNA from 1 species
UACGUAGGGGGCAAGCGUUGUCCGGAUUUAUUGGGCGUAAAGAGCGUGUAGGCGGUUUGGUAGGUCCGCUGUGAAAACUCGAGGCUCAACCUCGAGACGCCGAUGGAAACCAUCUGACUAGAGUCCGGAAGAGGAGAGUGGAAUUCCUGGUGUAGCGGUGAAAUGCGCAGAUAUCAGGAAGAACACCCGUGGCGAAGGCGGCUCUCUAGUACGUGACUGACGCUGAGACGCGAAAGCGUGGGGAGCGAACAGG